UGGAUAACUGUGGGAAAUCUAGAGCUAAUACAUGUAGUUACAGUCAUGGGGAUGCCUGUGGCUGGUGGCAUUUAUUAGAUAGUUACCAAUCGCAUUUUGCGUGGUGAAUCUAGAUAACUGAGCAGAUCGUAUGGCCUUGUGCUGACGACAUUUCGAUUGAAUUUCUGCCCUAUCAACUAUUGUCGGUAGUGUAGUGGACUACCGAGGUUUUUACGGGUGACGGGGAAUCAGGGUUCGAUUCCGGAGAGGGAGCCUGAGAAACGGCUACCACAUCCAAGGAAGGCAGCAGGCGCGCGAAUUACCCAAUCCAGACAAUGGGAGGUGGUGACGAAAAGUACCGGAUGACGGCCUAAGGCUGUCAAUCUGGAAUGGAACCAAUUUAAGCAUUUGGUUGAGAAACUACUGGAGGGCAAGUCUGGUGCCAGCAGCCGCGGUAAUUCCAGCUCCAGUAGUGUAUAUCAAAAUUGUUGCGGUUAAAACGCUCGUAGUUGGAUUACAAAAGUUAGGCGUCGAACAAGCACUAGUUUGGUCGAUGUCGGGCUUUUUUAUCGCAAGAAUCAUUCGUGCAUUUAACCGUGUGCGGGUGACCACUUGCGGAGCGUGCCUUGAAUAAAGCACAGUGCUCAAAGCAAGCGUAACGCUCGAAUGUUUAAGCAUGGAACGAAUAACUCUGACAAGGUUCAGUUGUUGGUUAUCUGAACCGGGUCCUGAUUAAAAGGGACAUUUGAGGGCGUUAGUACUUGGCAGCGAGAGGUGAAAUU
rnacentral:rRNA from 1 species